AUGAAUCCAAGAUGGAGACGCCCCAGCUCCAGUCCCCAGGCGAUGUUGAAGUUGCCGUCAUCGGAAGCAGUCACAGAGGACACUCGCCUCGCUGGGGAAGGAGGAACCCACUCAAGGAAGAAAGAGGGAAGAAAGAAGAUAGAGGCUGAAGGAAGAGUAGGACGGGGAGCAGAAAAAUGACUAAUUUCUGCAUUAACCCUUUAGAAAAAUGCAUUAGAAGUUGAAACGUGGUUGCCCCUGGGCAGGGGGUGGAAGACAGGGAAUGAGGGUCUCCAGAUUGAAAAGUCUUUUCAUUGUAUACUCCUUG
rnacentral:lncRNA from 1 species